GAUGAACGCUGGCGGCGUGCCUAAUACAUGCAAGUCGAGCGAACAGAUAAGGAGCUUGCUCCUUUGACGUUAGCGGCGGACGGGUGAGUAACACGUGGGUAACCUACCUAUAAGACUGGAAUAACUCCGAGAAACCGGGGCUAAUGCCGGAUAACAUUUAGAACCGCAUGGUUCUAAAGUGAAAGAUGGUUUUGCUAUCACUUAUAGAUGGACCCGCGCCGUAUUAGCUAGUUGGUAAGGUAACGGCUUACCAAGGCAACGAUACGUAGCCGACCUGAGAGGGUGAUCGGCCACACUGGAACUGAGACACGGUCCAGACUCCUACGGGAGGCAGCAGUAGGGAAUCUUCCGCAAUGGGCGAAAGCCUGACGGAGCAACGCCGCGUGAGUGAUGAAGGUCUUCGGAUCGUAAAACUCUGUUAUUAGGGAAGAACAAAUGUGUAAGUAACUGUGCACGUCUUGACGGUACCUAAUCAGAAAGCCACGGCUAACUACGUG
rnacentral:rRNA from 1 species